UGAUAUCUGAGGUCCCGUUGUCUCUAGUCCUGGGAUGGAACUGGUGGUCCUCAGCUAGGGCGUCUGUCGUCUUGCCUGGGAUGUCGACCAUGAAGAAAUAAAACUUUGGGACAAGAAGUUUGUCACUUGUUUGAGGUAACCAUCUCUAAAGGAGAGAACCAAGAUUGGGCAGGACAAGAGACUGAACUCUGAUAAGGUCAAAACGGAGAUGACAGUUGAUCUCACGGGGAGUUCCAGGGCUGAGGUGGCCUUUCAGGGUAUCACAAAUCGAGGCAAAGGAAUCUGGGCAUUUGCACUCCCCGUAGGAACCAGUCAUUGGAAGUGGGCUACCCCGGGGCGGGGGCGGACUUAGCCUUAGGUGUGGUACUUUCCUUUGGCCCAAGAGAAUUCCUGAGAGCAUGGCGGCACAAGCCAUUAGAACACUUCCAGCAGCUGGGGGCAUGAGUGCCUUAAAGAGUCCUGAAAGAAGGAUCUGAGAACUAUUCCACCGUCUCCAUUAUGGCGCAACACUCAGGCCACUCAGAGGCACUUGCUUCUUGGAAGUGAACACACACGGGAUUCUGGUUAGUCCUCUUGCUUGGAGAAACUUACAGGAGGAAGAUCGGUGAACAAAUUACAGAUCGCUCUCGACAGCAGCUUUUCGCGGUGCUGCAACGGAUACUUAAUGGCCACACUUCUACCAUCCCAUCCUCGAUUCCCUUCACCCGUGACUACGACCUCUGCUGGACUUGGAGGGCUGGUCUGGAUCCUCAGCCCUGAGGAGUCUGAACAUCUGGCCAACAGGCCCUUCUCAGGAUACAACUGCUACAUUUAUUUAUCAAAAACAAACAAAAACCUGGGGUAAGAGACAUGCCAAAGGAUUGCCUGAGUGCCAAAUGUCCUCUGCCCUUACUGUGUAACAGAAGCCCCGCGUCAGCUGGCAUAGGGUUACCUAUGCAGUCAUAAAGCUCCAUGAGACCCUUACUUUGCUGGUAAAAAGCCCUCUGGUCACUCGGGCUUUUAGGCUAAUUAUUUUUGUGAUUUCCUCCCAAGAGUCCCCUGACCUACCUUAUAUGAAGAACACGUGUGAAGGCAACUGUUCUAGACUAUGGGUGGGAGCAUCAGUGCUUUGACAAUACCCAGAUGGUACAGCGGCUGCUACAAUUCAGGGGUAGGGAUGUUAAUAGAACCCUGGCCUUACCCGCUACUGGGUACCAACGACUUCUUGUGGUUUUCCUCCAUCCUGUCCACAACUCUGGCGAUUCCAAGGAACAAAUCAAAGCACACCUGGUGGAGGGUCCAAAACAUCACUACGAGUAGAGAAAUAAAAUAACCAAAGUCACAACAACAGAGAGCAAGUAACACUCUCCAAAAAACACCUCCUGAAGGGCCAGGCCCUGGACAGUGUAUGACCCCCCACCACCCUCCCUUUAAUAUAGCGGUGCUUGCAGGUACAAAGCACACAGCAAGCUUUUAAAACUCAUCAGGGACAGAAAACUAGCCAAAAUGAUGAAACGGAAGAAUUCUCCACAAAAGAAAUUCCAGGAAGGAGUGACAGCUAACAAAUUGAUCAAAACCAACUUAAGCAAUAUAACUGAGCAAGAGUUGAGAAUAGUCAUAAAACUAAUUGCUAGGCUUGAACAAAGCAUAGAGGACAGCAGAGAAUCUAUUGCUAGAGAGAUCAAGGGACUAAGAAAUAGUCAUGAGGAACAAAAAAUGUUGUAAGUGAGGUGCAAAAUAAAAUGAAGACAGCCAAAGCACAGAUUGAAGAGGCAGAGGGGAGAAUAGGUGAAUUAGAAGAUAAAAUUAUGGAAAAAGAGGAAGCUGAGAAAAAGAUAAAAAAAUCCAUGAGUAUGAGGGGAGAGUUAGGGAAUUAAGUGAUGCAAUCAAAUGGAACAAUAUCCAUAUCAUAGGAAUUCCAGAAGAAGAAGAGAGAGAA